AUUGAACGCUGGCGGCAGGCCUAACACAUGCAAGUCGAGCGGAUGAAGGGAGCUUGCUCCUGGAUUCAGCGGCGGACGGGUGAGUAAUGCCUAGGAAUCUGCCUGGUAGUGGGGGAUAACGUCCGGAAACGGGCGCUAAUACCGCAUACGUCCUGAGGGAGAAAGUGGGGGAUCUUCGGACCUCACGCUAUCAGAUGCGCCUAGGUCGGAUUAGCUAGUUGGUGGGGUAAAGGCCUACCAAGGCGACGAUCCGUAACUGGUCUGAGAGGAUGAUCAGUCACACUGGAACUGAGACACGGUCCAGACUCCUACGGGAGGCAGCAGUGGGGAAUAUUGGACAAUGGACGAAAGCCUGAUCCAGCCAUGCCGCGUGUGUGAAGAAGGUCUUCGGAUUGUAAAGCACUUUAAGUUGGGAGGAAGGGAAGUAAGUUAAUAACUUGCUGUUUUGACGUUACCAACAGAAUAAGCACCGGCUAACUUCGUG
rnacentral:rRNA from 1 species